CCGGACAAUCUGAGACACGGCCACGGCCCAGGAUCUGCAAGUUGGUCCAGCAUAGAGAUACUUCCCCUAAAUACACAGACUGAUCAUAAGACAUGUUAGGUACAUCUCAGUCAUUCACAAGAAAGUCAAAAGAUGCCAGCUGUCAUGCUCUGAGUUAGAGACUCUCCUCAUACGUGGAAAUGGGUGACCCGUGCCAGGUACAUCAGAAUCCUGAGGCCCAGUGUAGACCAGGCCAGCCAGGCAGCCACAUCUCAAACCCUGUGUUGUGUGGGUGCCCACUGGACACGCACAUGAAGAUCCCGCCAGAGCGCAAGUUUUCCUGCUCCAUCGUCACAUCCAGGACACAGCGCAGGAAGUUACAAGCUGUGGCUGCACGUCAUAAAGCCUUUGACAAAUUUCAUACCCUACUAUUUGUGUCAUCUGCACCUGGACUACAUUUGGUGACAUCAGUACAUACAGUCAAAGUAAAAACCUCCGACAUUUUGAAAAAGUCAUCUGAUGACUCAGUUUGUAUGGAUCGCCUUGCUCAGAGUCUGGGAGAAAACAGCAGAGGAUUCCACAGGGCUAGGAAAGCAGAGGGCUUUUGACUGCAUCUGUUCACAUCAAACGAACAGGAACUGCUCUGUUGGGAUCGUGUCAUCGCAGUAAGUGAUAAGAGUGAGCAGGAAGAACUCACUCAUGAGUGGUGGCCCAAUUUUUGAAAAAAGGCAUGGAGAAGGGGCAGCAAGAAAGGAAAACAAAUGAGCCUUUAUCAGACUCCUUCCCACUCUUCCAGUGUCUCUCCACCAAUCAAGCAAGGUUGCCAAUUUGGCCCAAAGGCAGCAAUUCCCUAAUACAGUACGAUAGCACUGCCACCCCUUUCCUUCUAAACAAACUGCUAAGGAACAUAACUGUAUUAUAGAGCUAUAAAGAAAUAAAAGCUAUUUUAUCAUAAUUUGAUUAUGGUACAAAGCACUAUGCAUAGCAAUCCGUGGAUCUAAUUUUAGUUGUAAUAAUCUCUUGCCUUGUUAUGUAAAUGGGAAAAGGCUUUCUAUAGACCUCAG
rnacentral:lncRNA from 1 species